rnacentral:lncRNA from 1 species
AGAUUUUAACGGAAGGAAUAAUCUCUGGUGGAGGUCACAUGUGAGGAGGGAUUUCAGGUUCUAUUUGGGGAAGAACCUGAAAUUUUCCCUCCAAAAAGUUUUUCUCUGAUUUUCAUAUCUGAACUUGAAAUUCAAACAUUCAAAAAACCAAAACCAAAAACAAAGAGAAACAGAAAAAGAAAAAAGUUAUUGUUCCAUUGCUUUUUUUUUUCCUUUAGAAUUUUCAAAUUUCGAGCCAUGAAUUCAGCUCUUUAGCUUAUCUAGGAUCAUAAACAAUUUGUGCUUCUUCAUUUCUGUUUUGUAUUUGGAAUUUGGCUGCGUUUGGAAUCAACUGGGUUCGAAUUUGACUGGUUUGAGUUAGCUAGUGGAUCAGCUGGCUGUUUAUACUUGAUUCCUGGGUUCAAUUGCUUGUUAGUUGAGUUUAUUCAAGUUUAUUGGACCGAAUGUUGAAUGUUGUAUUUUUCAAAACUCAAUCCUGGAGUGACUUGAUGUUAUACAUUGAGUUGUGAGCUCAAUUUCAAUCUAUUGUUUUGACUGCCUGCUCAUUGUUGCUGAUCCUCACUUGCCUCACCUUCUAUUUUCCAGGUACAUGUCCUAUAACCCUCCGGAUUAUGAGAAAUGGAAUGAAGUGAUGAUUGUUUUCUCAUAUUGAACUCUCUGUUGAAAGUGUAAUUCAUUUCAGUAUGUUAUGUCAUCUUAAUUAGUUGACCUCGACUUGUUCGAAACUGGACAUUCACUACUGGAAUUACUCCAUCGAUUCGAUGGCUGUUGGCUUUAUAAUCACAUAUCCUGUAUUAAUUUGAACUCUUUAGACUAUUAGCUGACUAGUGAUUCUCCAGUGAAUUGUUAGUAUUGUGCUUGUGUUUUCAGGUGUGUGUUAGCUCACAAGGAUUAAAAGGUCACAUGAGCUUGGAUUUUAUUUUUUCUGAAACAUGUUGCUUGGAUAGUCAUU